rnacentral:siRNA from 1 species
CUCCCGUGUAGUGAUGACGUG